rnacentral:ncRNA from 1 species
GUAACUCUUGACUGGAGUGCAUCCGAGAGAGCCACGGUGCCAAUGGAUGGGUUCGUUCUGAGAUUAUACGGUCAAAACUUGAUCUGGAUAAUACCAGCGAAAGGAUCAUGCCUUCCCUCCGUU